UGAGUCGGCCAGGCGGUCGCGUCACGGAGUGAUCCGUGCCGAGGAACGUCCGGGCUCCACAGGGCAGGGUGGUGGGUAACGCCCACCCGGGGUGACCCGCGGGACAGUGCCACAGAAAGUAGACCGCCGCACCGGUUCGCCGGCGCGGUAAGGGUGAAACGGUGGUGUAAGAGACCACCAGCGCAUCGGGUGACCGAAGCGGCUAGGUAAACCCCACCCGGAGCAAGACCAGACAGGAAGCGUUCGAGGGCUGCUCGCCCGAGCUUCCGGGUAGGUCGCUGGAGGCGUGCGGCAACGUACGUCGUAGAUGGAUGGCCGCCCCCGGAUCGCACGCGGUCCGGGACAGAACCCGGCGUAUCGGCCGGCUCAUCCA
rnacentral:RNase_P_RNA from 1 species